rnacentral:rRNA from 1 species
UACGUAGGCAGCGAGCGUUGUUCGGAGUUACUGGGCGUAAAGGGUGUGUAGGCGGUUUUCUAAGUUUGGUGUGAAAUCUCCCGGCUCAACCGGGAGGGUGCGCCGAAAACUGGGAGACUAGAGUGCGGGAGGGGAGAGUAGAAUUCCUGGUGUAGCGGUGAAAUGCGUAGAUAUCAGGAGGACUACCGGUGGUGUAGACGGCUCUCUGGACCGCCACUGACGCUGAGACACGAAAGCGUGGGUAGCAAACAGG